CCUACGGGAGGCAGCAGUGCGGAAUAUUGGUCAAUGGGCGCAAGCCUGAACCAGCCAAGUAGCGUGAAGGAUGACUGCCCUACGGGUUGUAACCUUCUUUUAUAGAGGAAUACAGUGAGGCACGUAUGCCUUUUUGUAUGUACUUUAUGAAUAAAGCUCGCCUCACUCAGUGCCAGCAGCCGAGGUAAUACGGAGGAUCCGAGCGUUAUACGGAUUUGUUGGGGGUAAAGGGAGAGUAGAGGGGAUGUUAAGUCAGUUGUGAAAGUUUGCGGCUCAACCGUAAAAUUGCAAUUGAUACUGGCAGUCUUGAGUACAGUUGAGGUAGGUGGAAUUCGUGGUGUAGCGGUGAAAUGCGUAGAGAUCAGACGGAACACCGAUUGCGAAGGCAGCUUACUAAUCUAUAUCUGACGCUGAGGCACGAAAGCGUGGGGAGCAAACAGGAUUAGAUACCCUGGUAGUC
rnacentral:rRNA from 1 species